CAAAGUACUCCUUUUAAUACAGAAAUUGUUACAUCGGUGCUCUAGCCGCAUGCUUUCAGAGAUGUUGUCUCAGGCAUUUGAAAAUGCCAGAGCUGUUUCUAUAAUCAUUGUCAAUUAACUGUCAACAUUUUCCUUUGAUUGAAUGCCACCAACCUCUUCAUUUGAAGUCUUGAAAUCCAUGUGCUACUACGCAGUGAGGGAUACUGCAAUGGAGAAAAAUAAGAGUGAGUUAGACUGUGACACGGCCAAAGACUCGCUGCAGCAAAAAAGGGAUUUAUGUUUGAAGUUUUAUUGACUUAAGAAAAUCCAAUAUGAAAUACGGGAUCACAGUUUUCUCCGCCUGCCGCCACACUCUCCACAUCGAGCUGUCGGACCGGAGAUGAGUCAGCUCUGUAAUGGAUGUGCCCUCCUGAACAUCCUGCCAGGCGCCGCCACUUCCCCUUCUUAUUUUUUAUUGUGUGAGAAUCCAGAUUAAAUUGGCCGAACCUUUUGUGAUUUUCAAGUCGAGUCAGCGCAACUCCUUCCAUAACCACGCCAUCAGAUACUUCCAAUCCUGACAAUUUGCAGAGCAAUGUUUUUCAAAUAAAGCUCUUGUGUUUGACACAAUGGCAGGAAACAGAGAGAGAGAGGAUCAGAUUGCCUGGAUGAUGUGGAGAUUGUAAUGUAACAUCUCCAUCUCUUAGACCGGAGGACAGCUGCGGCCCGUUCAGGAUGAUGGAUGAUCGUCUGGGCGCAGGUGCAGCAGCUGCCUGCAGAGUGCUCCUGCAAAUGUAGUUUUACUACACGAAAAAUUGAGAUGGGUUUCACUUACUGUACUGUUCACCUGUUCUACGACAUGGAACAUAUGGUGCCAGGGAGUGCAGCGUUUUAAUUUUGCGAUGGAUGAUAGCAGAUAUUAGGUUACUUAAAUGUUAUGGUCUCCCCGAAAAGAGUCCUGCUCAUAGUCAAUAGCGUUUCACAGGACCUGUUCAGUUUAUGUUAGAAAACCAGUGUAGUCGGAUGUCUGUGCACACGUUCUUGUGUGUGGUCUGUAUCUUUUAAACCUCUCUGUAAAAAACAAAGGUAAAGAAUACUAAUUAUGAUUACUUGUCUUUUUAUUUAUGUUGCUAUCUUGAGAGGACGAUCCAACAUUUAAGUAUUUUGUUUUAUCCAUUAUGGCAAUUUUUUAACUUCCAACAAAUAAACUUCUGAAGGCAAACUUCUGGGUACUUUUUUGAAGAUGU